GUGAAUCAUCGAAUUUUUGAACGCAAAUUGCACUCUCUUCUAAGAGGAUGCCUGUUUGAGGGUCAGCCUAAGAAAAAUCGACAUAGUCGCUGUUGCGCGGUGACAUUCGUCAUAAGGUGGGUCAUCUUAAACCUUUGGGUUUUUUAAGCUGCUUAAAAUGUUCUUUUCGAUUCCACGAACGUUUCUAAGAAUUUACUUCUUACACACGUUGAAGGUAUCGAUCGUUAUUAAACUUGACCGUUGCAUCG
rnacentral:misc_RNA from 1 species